ensembl:lncRNA
GUAUGUUAGUAAAGCUUUCCAUUCAAAGCUUUUUCACAUUUACUGUAUAAGUAAAAGGGCUUGCAGUUUGCAUGAAAUGCAUUGCAUUCCGAAAUGUUUUUUAAUUGAUGGACUGGAAUGGUGUGGAUUACUUCUGGAUUAUUAUGAUGUCUUUAUCAGCUGUUUGGACUCUCAUUCUGACGGCACCCAUUCACUGCAGAGGAUCCAUUGGUGAGCAAGUGACAUAAUGCUAAGUUUCUCCCAAUCUGUUCUGAUGAAGAAACAAACUACAUCUUGGGUGGCCUGAGGCAUUGUUCUUGGAAUUCAAGGCACUUGUUGAACUAACAUUCAUACAAUGGAUAAAUCAAAGCAUGAAGGGGAUGAGAUGGCUGGGUGUGCAAAAUAUAACUUGAUGCUUGUACAGAAUUCAAUAGUGCAUUCUGUUCAAAGUUGGAUGUGGGAUUUUCCUAUUGAUGUCGCUGACCUAUGAGCAUAAAGAUUUCGCUGUCCGACACUUCAGAGGCUCGAUGUCAAGCAAUGUCAAGAUCAUAGAUUUGAAUCAUGGAAUGCAUGAACAUGAUGAAAUGUUGUAUGCAAUGUCAUUUUGGCUAAAAUCUGCAAAUGCAUCAUGUAUAAUCCUGAUUUUCCAAGUUGGAAGUCGGACUUCAAGUGUACUUUUCAAAGUUGGAAGAUCUGGUAUGGAAGACAGCAGCUCUUUGAACGGCAUCCAUUGUAGUUCCAGCUUCCACCUAAGGAGGCACAGAGACAUCAGGAGCUAAAAACAGUGCAGGGUGACAGACCUUGAGGCUAGAUUUAUUCAUUCUGACACUGAGGGUCUUUAACGGUCACUUCUGUCAGUUGCAACAUCCAUGUUACAGAGG